AUUGAACGCUGGCGGCAGGCCUAACACAUGCAAGUCGAGCGGAUGAAGGGAGCUUGCUCCUGGAUUCAGCGGCGGACGGGUGAGUAAUGCCUAGGAAUCUGCCUGGUAGUGGGGGAUAACGUCCGGAAACGGGCGCUAAUACCGCAUACGUCCUGAGGGAGAAAGUGGGGGAUCUUCGGAUCUCACGCUAUCAGAUGAGCCUAGGUCGGAUUAGCUAGUUGGUGGGGUAAAGGCCUACCAAGGCGACGAUCCGUAACUGGUCUGAGGGGAUGAUCAGUCACACUGGAACUGAGACACGGUCCAGACUCCUACGGGAGGCAGCAGUGGGGAAUAUUGGACAAUAGGCGAAAGCCUGAUCCAACCAUGCCGCGUGUGUGAAGAAGGUCUUCGGAUUGUAAAGCACUUUAAGUUGGGAUGAAGGGCAGUAAGUUAAUACCUUGCUGUUUUGACGUUACCAACAGAAUAAGCACCGGCUAACUUCGUG
rnacentral:rRNA from 1 species